CUGCCGUUAAGAUGCGAAAGCCUGGGGAAGCAAAACAGAUUUAAUUCCCCUGGUAAGUCCACCCCGUAAACGAUGUCGACCUACCCUUUGGGCUCAUUUUAAGAGUUUUAGUGGCGCAGCAAAACCCGAUAAAGUCGACCGCCUGGGGAGUACGGCCGCAAGGUUUAAAACUCAAAAAGAAUUGACGGGGGGCCCGCCACAAGCGGUGGAGCCUGUGGUUUUAAUUUGGAUGCAACGCGAAGAACCUUACCAGCCCCUUGACAUCCUUGGGAACCUUGGCAGAGAUGCCUUUGGUGCCUUUCGGGAGCCCGAGAGAACAGGUGCUGCAUGGCUGUCGUCAAGCUCGUGUCCUGAGAUGUUGGGUUAAGUCCCGUAACGAGCGCAACCCUUUUCCUUAGUUGCCAGCAGUUCGCCGGGAAUCUAAGGAAAUUGCCGUUGAUAAACCGGAGGAAGGGGGGGAUACGCAAGUCCUCAUGGCCCUAUUGGCUGGCCUAACACGGCCUCCACUGGCCGGACAGAGGGCCGCCAAAGAACCAAUGUGAGGCAAAUCCCGAAAAACGAUCGUAGUCCCGGAGCACAGUCCACAACUCGACCACAAAAUUUCAAACUCUCUAGUAAUCGAGAAACAACAUCUCGCGGAGAAUGUUCUCCCGGGCCUUGACACCCCCCCCUACCACCAU
rnacentral:rRNA from 1 species